UUUAACAAAUUUAAAAUGUUAUGAAAAAAAAAAUAUUUCAAUUUCAACUUUUUUCAAAAAUAAUGAUAUUAUUUGUACUAAUGAAAAACGCACGAGUUCAAACCAAAAUAUGUCUUUUCAUUAUGACGAGUUUUCAAACUGUUCAAUUUACUUUGAACAUAACAUCUCACAUUUAAUUAAUAUAAGCAAACAAUUAUCUGAAAAGAAAAACGAAUACUUAAAAAAUAAACAAAAAACAAUUUUGAAAGAAAUUUUAAUGUUUAAAAAAAAAAAUGUUUUUUCUUACAAAAAAAUUAAUGAAGCUUUUACUUAUUUCUUAUGGGACAAUAAUAAUAAUAAUAAUAAUAAUAAUAAUAGUAGUAGUAGUAGUAGUAGUAGUAGUAGUUGUAGUAAAACACAAAUAUAUAGAGGUAAAGGCGUUUUUGUAGCUUUUAAUGAUGACAUAUAUAAUAACAAAAAUAAAUUAAAUUUAAACAUGUAUUAUUAUCAAAGUGUUGGCGAUUUAUAUGAAAUAAAUAUGAUAAUGGGUGAGGUUCAUACAUUUUUUCAAAAUUAUUUGGACGAAUUGAAAAAUGCAAAAAAUGAGAAAAGUGCAGAAAUGGACCUUAAUACGUUAUCUUCAACGGUAGAUAAUGCAGACAAUGAAGCUUCAUGUUUAUGUCAAGACACGCAGGUGCAUGCUACUAGUAAUACAUGUAACAGUAGCAACACAUGUGACAGUAGCAACACAUGUAACAAUAGCAACAGCGAAAUGUACAAUUAUGAAAACUUGUCCGAUUUGGAAAACUACUUGUCUGAUGCAUCUUCUAGUAGUGAAGACAACAAUUAUAAUAUAAAUAAUAUAUUAACAGGUCAGGACGUUUUUACUUCUAGUUUUUUAUUUAUAGGUAAAGAUAUAAACGUAGAACAUAUAAAAAGUAAAUUAAAUGAUUGCUUAUAUUGUUAGUUACUUAUACAUAACGACUAUGCAUUUAAAAAGAAAAAAAAAAAAAAUACACUUGUGUUUAAGAACUUAUAAGUAGUAUUGUAUAUUUUUACAUCAUACACCAAGCACUAUAAAUGUACUUUUUUUUUUUUUUUUUUAUUUAAAC
rnacentral:lncRNA from 1 species